GUGCUUGCUUUGGCAGCAUAUAUACUAAAAUUGGAAUGAUACAGAGAAGAUUAACAUGGCCCCUGCACAAGAAUGACAUGCAAAUUCGUAAAGCAUUUCAUAUUAAA
rnacentral:snRNA from 1 species